rnacentral:rRNA from 1 species
GACGAACGCUGGCGGCGUGCCUAACACAUGCAAGUCGUGCGAGAAAGUUCCUUCGGGAGCGAGUAAAGCGGCGCACGGGUGAGUAACACGUAGGUAACCUGCCCCCCAGUCUGGAACAACUAGAGGAAACUCUAGCUAAUGCCGGAUGAGACCACGAUCCCUUCGGGGGUUGCGGCCAAAGAUGGCCUCUACUUGUAAGCUAUCGCUGAGGGAUGGGCCUGCGGGCCAUUAGCUUGUUGGUGAGGUAACGGCUCACCAAGGCUGUGAUGGCUAGCUGGUCUGAGAGGAUGACCAGCCACACUGGGACUGAGACACGGCCCAGACUCCUACGGGAGGCAGCGGUGGGGAAUAUUGCGCAAUGGGCGAAAGCCCGACGCAGCGACGCCGCGUGGGUGAUGAAGGCCUCGGUCGUAAGACCGUACGUCGCGACGGGAGGAAGUAAGACGAUACGGUACGUAAUAACG